rnacentral:rRNA from 1 species
CGGACGGGUGAGUAACACGUAGAGAACCUACCUUACACAGGGGGACAACGGCUGGAAACGGUUGCUAAUACCGCAUAAGCACCCAGUUUCGCAUGAAACAGAGUGAAAAGAGUAAAUCGGUGUAAGAUGGCUCUGCGUCUGAUUAGCUAGUUGGUGGGGUAAAGGCUCACCAAGGCGACGAUCAGUAGCCGGCCUGAGAGGGCGACCGGCCACAUUGGGACUGAGACACGGCCCAGACUCCUACGGGAGGCAGCAG